UACGAGUGCCCCGAGCGUUAUCCGGAAUUAUUGGGCGUAAAGGGUGUGUAGGUGGUUUUGUUAGUCGUGCGUUAAAACUUCGGGCUUAACCCGAAAGGUGCGCAGGAAACGGCAAGACUAGAGGAUGCGAGAGGUACGUAGAACUCAUGGUGUAGGGGUGAAAUCCGUUGAUAUCAUGGGGAAUACCAAAAGCGAAGGCAGCGUACUGGCGCACUUCCUGACACUGAAACACGAAAGCGUGGGUAGCGAAUGGG
rnacentral:rRNA from 1 species